GAUCACCACCCCCCACCCCAGAUCCCGACCGGCUAUGGCCUUCGACUCGCCGACCUCCUCCCCGGCGGCCACACCGCGCGUUUCAGCGCACCGACAGGGCGCCCAGGGGCGAGCCGCCGCGGCGCGUGGGCGGGCUGAGCCGGGCGUUCGCGGACGGGCGGCAGGUGGCGUCGUCGGCGCCGUCGAGGUGCCCGCGUGGCCGAGCCGGUUCGCCGACCUGGAGCUUCCGCCACGACUGUCGCGUGCUGCGUAGCAACGUCCGCCGUUGUCGCCGGCGCUCCAAUGAAGCGCGCCCGGGGCUGCAAUGGAGCGUCGUCCGGGUCGUUGGAGCUCCGCCGCGGCUGCAAUGGGGCCUCGUCCGGGUCGUUGGAGCUCCGCCGCGGCUGCAAUGGAGCUUCAUCGGAGCUGCAAUGAAGCCCUCGUCGUGGCCACCGGUGCUCCAAUGAAGCCACCGGCGCUGCUGCCAUGGAGGGCGGCAGAGCUGCAUCGCAGCAGGCGAUGCUCCAAUGAAACUUCACCGGUGCUCCAAUGAAGCUUCGCCGGUGCGUCAAUGAAGCUUCGCCGGAGCUCGUCGGUGUUGCAUCCAAGUUUUUUCGUCACACUCGGUGGUGCUAUGAAGCAGCACCUGGUGACUCCCGGUGGUGCGAUGCAGCGGUUGCCGACGACUCUUGGAGCUGCGAUGCAGUAGCUGCCGGCGGCUCCGGUGACGUGCGGUCGCCGACGCGGGCUGCCGGGGGAGCGUCGUUGCUGCUCUGGAGCUCCGUUGGGUUGCAAUGGAGCUCACCGGAGGCCGUCAGUGCUGGCAUUGAAGCUUCGCCGGAGUGUCGUUGCUGCGCUGGAGCUCCAUCGGGUUGCAAUGGAGCUCAUCCACGAACAACUGCAAGUCAUGCUGCGACGACAGGUCCGACGAUGGUCUGAGCGAUGUGCUGCCAUGGAGCGUCACUUGGGGCGUCAUUGCUGGGAUGGAGCUUGGCAGCACCGCGCAGUGCUGCCAUGGAGCUUCAAUGAAGCAUCUCUGGACCGUGGUGCUGUGACGGAGCUUUGCUGCACCGUGCAGUGCUGCCCCGGAGCAUUGCCGGGGGGCUGGCUAUCUGUGCUUCCAUGGAACUGCAAUGGAUCAUCGGCGAUGGAUUGGUGUCGCGCUGCAGAGGCGACGGAUUCAAAUUCCAUAGCGUUGCGCUUGUGGUCCUUUUUGUCAAAUCAGACGGCUGCGCAGAGUUUAAUCCAACGGCGGGAGAGGCGGUUUACAAUUGGCUCCUGUCAUCCGGAUGACGCCUAGUACUCGCCAUACAGAAAGGACACUAGUCCCUCGAUGGAAUCCCCAAAUCAGAUCGGAUCGUGGCGCUGCUACGACAGAUUGCCGGCCAACAGUCCUUCCCACGGGACCUGCUCCGUUCUGUGCGUUGUUGCCUGCCGUGUUCGACGGCAUGGGCUGGGGCGCUGCGCUUCUGCAGAUCAUCAUUCCAAUUGUGCGUCUGAUUUGCUGCCUCCCAUCAAUGACCACGGCUCUGUGAUCUUCCAUGUUCUUUCCUGGCGCACACUGUGGGUCUACCCUGCUAUCUACCGGCUCCUCAUACAACAGGGAUGGAGAAACUAAGAGCCUUUGUGGAGACAAUCGCAUCAGCUCAGCUACGGCCAACGUUUCUCCUCUCUAUGUUUCUUUGCACGCCUCAUCUAGCGAUCCUGACUCGGGCGGCAUUUGCUCUCACCGGUAGCGCGGGGCGCUCUCGAUGGCGUCGCAUGUGUUGGAAUUGACGCCCUUGUGGCUGCCAGUUUCUGGUCGCGACGCACGAGUAUCUGUACAUGCUGGGCGGGAUCAACGAGGAGCCAGACCGCCCCAUCCAUGUUAGCGCCAGGGCCGACGUGCGGCUUCAAGUGCCCGUUGAAAUUUGAUCUUGGCAGAUUCCUUCUAGAGUUGUGAUCCUGGAGGCCAGCGGAGUGCAUGGGACGAACAUGGAGUGACCAGCAGCGACAACUUUGCUUGGGCAGAUGGAUUCCGCUGCGGCGGAGUUAGAGAUACGAAUGGGAGAAUAUGUAGCUAUGAUGACUCAACAAGAUCGUGGCAUGGGGCAAUGGAUGGCCGCAGUCAAAGUCCAACGAACUCCUCCUGUACGAUGUGAGACAUCGGGAUCCAGAUAACCUCUGCGAGCAACGAAUCCAGGCUGGAGAAGCGCCAGCGACGCGGCUGGUUUAGUCUAGACCAACGCAUGUUCACAGGUUCAUUUCCUGUUUUUUUAAUAAGUAGUUCACGAAUCAAAUCCUUUUCUGAGACCAGACUCA